GCGAAACCUUUACACUGCACGAGAGUGCGAUAAGGGGACUCCAAGUGCGAGGGCAUAUAGUCCUCGCUUUUCACCACCGUAAGGAGGUGGUAGAAUAAGUGCUGGGCAAGACCGGUGCCAGCCGCCGCGGUAAUACCGGCAGCACAAAGUGAUGACCGCUAUUAUUGGGCCUAAAGCGUCCGUAGCUGGCCUCACAAGUCCAUCGGGAAAUCCGCGCGCUCAACGCGCGGGCGUCCGGUGGAAACUGUGUGGCUUGGGACCGGAAGAUCCAGAGGGUACGUCCGGGGUAGGAGUGAAAUCCCGUAAUCCUGGACGGACCACCGGUGGCGAAAGCGCUCUGGAAAGACGGAUCCGACGGUGAGGGACGAAAGCUUGGGUCACGAACCGGAUUAGAUACCCGGGUAGUCCAAGCUGUAAACGAUGUCUGCUAGGUGUGACACAGGCUACGAGCCUGUGUUGUGCCGUAGGGAAGCCGUGAAGCAGACCGCCUGGGAAGUACGUCCGCAAGGAUGAAACUUAAAGGAAUUGGCGGGGGAGCACUACAACCGGAGGAGCCUGCGGUUUAAUUGGACUCAACGCCGGACAUCUCACCAGCAUCGACAAUGUGCAGUGAAGGUCAGUGUGAUGACCUUACCGGAGCCAUUGAGAGGAGGUGCAUGGCCGCCGUCAGCUCGUACCGUGAGGCGUCCUGUUAAGUCAGGCAACGAGCGAGACCCGCACUCCUAAUUGCCAGCAAUACCCUUGUGGUAGUUGGGUACAUUAGGAGGACUGCCAGUGCCAAACUGGAGGAAGGAACGGGCAACGGUAGGUCAGUAUGCCCCGAAUGUGCUGGGCGACACGCGGGCUACAAUGGCCGAGACAGUGGGAUGCCACCCCGAAAGGGGGCGCUAAUCUCCGAAACUCGGUCGUAGUUCGGAUUGAGGGCUGAAACUCGCCCUCAUGAAGCUGGAUUCGGUAGUAAUCGCCGUUCAGAAGACGGCGGUGAAUACGUCCCUGCUCCUUGCACACACCGCCCGUCAAAGCACCCGAGUGGGGUCCGGAUGAGGCCGACGUUACGUCGGUCGAA
rnacentral:rRNA from 1 species